GUCGGCGGCGCGGCUCCCACCCGGGCCCGGGCCCUGCUGGGUCCUAGCGCGCGCCGCCGCCGCCCGCGGCCGGGCUGCAGCCCGCACGUACGGCGGGCAGCUCGCGAGCACGGUGACUGCCCGGGAAAACCGAAAAAGCCGUCAGCCUCUUUCCAAACUGGACGCUGGAGGUGCAGAGGAACUGGAGCUUAAUGUCAAAUCCUGGCAGAAGAUGUCGAAAGAAAAACACUGGCUCCCACUGAACUCACGGAAGGCGGAUGUUCGUAUCUGCAGCCCCAGGAGACUAAGAACUGACUGCACUUUGUACGCGGAGGAGUGAGGUUAUCUCAGGUGGAACUUGGUUUUCUAUGUGCAGCCCGAGCUCUGAAAAUCCUUGAAAACCCUGGGAGCUCAGGUAUCUCAGAUACCAGAAGUCUAUUAGUGAGCUCUAGGGCGUCCCUGCCCAGCAUGGUGACAAUCAGGGCGUUGCUUCUCAGCCUUCCCGCACCCAUGGGAAAGUCACCAGUCACUUCUGUUUGUGGCAGUCCACUUCCUCCUCCCCUCUGCCGAAAGGAAAUGUGACUUCUCUGAUGAUGUGUCCCAGCCCCCCUAAACACCAGCCAGGUGAGGGUUGGGUGCCAUUGCACUGAAAAGACAGAACCAUUCUGUCCUUAGAAAUGCUUCAUUCCUUUUCUUGUGCAG
rnacentral:lncRNA from 1 species